UACGUAGGUGGCAAGCGUUGUCCGGAUUUACUGGGUGUAAAGGGCGUGUAGGCGGGGAAACAGGUCAGAUGUGAAAUCCCGAGGCUUAACCUCGGAACUGCAUUUGAAACCGUUUCUCUUGAGUGAUGGAGAGGUAAGUGGAAUUCCUAGUGUAGCGGUGAAAUGCGUAGAUAUUAGGAGGAACACCAGUGGCGAAGGCGACUUACUGGACAUUAACUGACGCUGAGGCGCGAAAGCGUGGGGAGCAAACAGG
rnacentral:rRNA from 1 species